AUUGAACGCUGGCGGCAGGCUUAACACAUGCAAGUCGAGCGGGGGAGGUUGCUUCGGUAACUGACCUAGCGGCGGACGGGUGAGUAAUACUUAGGAAUCUGCCUAUUAAUGGGGGACAACAUCUCGAAAGGGAUGCUAAUACCGCAUACGCCCUACGGGGGAAAGCAGGGGAUCACUUGUGACCUUGCGUUAAUAGAUGAGCCUAAGUCGGAUUAGCUAGUUGGUGGGGUAAAGGCCUACCAAGGCGACGAUCUGUAGCGGGUCUGAGAGGAUGAUCCGCCACACUGGGACUGAGACACGGCCCAGACUCCUACGGGAGGCAGCAGUGGGGAAUAUUGGACAAUGGAGGGAACCCUGAUCCAGCCAUGCCGCGUGUGUGGAGAAGGCCUUAUGGUUGUAAAGCACUUUAAGCGAGGAGGAGGCUCUUUUGGUUAAUACCCAAGAUGAGUGGACGUUACUCGCAGAAUAAGCACCGGCUAACUCUGUGCCAGCCGCCGCAGUAACAC
rnacentral:rRNA from 1 species